rnacentral:tRNA from 1 species
GGCUCAGCUGGUAGAGCAUGGUGUUUGCAUGGUGUUUGCAACGCCAGGGUUGUGGGUUCGAUUCCCACGGGGGCCA